rnacentral:rRNA from 1 species
CAAUAGCAUAUACUAAAUUUGUUGCAGUUAAAAAGCUCGUAGUUGAAUUUCAUCUGAUUUCGUGAAUGGCCGACGCAAGUUGUGUUCACUUACGAGUCAGACUCCUAUAGGAUACUCAUAUUUGCAGUUAAUCCUGUGAGUAUAGCAGCGUGCUUCGGUACGUCGGGUUCCAAUUCAUUUACUUUGAAUAAAUUAGAGUGUUCAAAGCAGGCGUACAGAGCCUUUGAAUAGUUUUGCAUGGGAUAAUAGAACAGGACAUCAGUCUGUGUUUUAUUGGUUUCUAAGACUGAAGUAAUGAUUAAUAGGGAUAGUUGGGGGCACUUGUAUUUUAGAGUCAGAGGUGAAAUUCUUGGAUUUCUGAAAGACAAACUCCUGCGAAAGCAUUUGCCAAGAAUGUUUUCAUUAA